UACGCUGGCGGCACGCCUAAACAUGCAAGUCGAACGAAGUAGCAAUACUUAGUGGCAGACGGGUGAGUAACAUGUAGGUAUCUGCCCUUUGGCCUGGAAUAACACGAGGAAACUUGUGCUAAUACCGGAUAAGUCUUUACGGAGAAAGCUUUAUGCACCAUUGGAUGAGCCUGCACUUGAUUAGUUUGUUGGUGGGGUAAUGGCCUACCAAGACUGUGAUCAAUAGCUGAUUUGAGAGGAUGAUCAGCCACAUUGGGACUGAGACACGGCCCAAACUCCUACGGGAGGCAGCAGUGGGGAAUCUUGCACAAUGGAGGAAACUCUGAUGCAGCGAUGCCGCGUGAGUGAAGAAGGCCUUUGGGUUGUAAAGCUCUUUCGUCGGGGAAGAAAAUGACUGUACCCGAAU
rnacentral:rRNA from 1 species